GCCGCUGUGGCGGAAUUGGCAGACGCACUGGACUCAAAAUCCAGCGAUAGCAAUAUCGUGCCGGUUCGACCCCGGCCAGCGGCACCA
rnacentral:tRNA from 1 species